UUCUCUGAGAUUUUCUUCCUGGCUGAAAACAGCAGAAAGAAAAGUCAGCUAUAGCAGCAGGUACAACUUGUGACAAUCGUUCUACUUCUGGUCAUUUCCUACCAGGAGCAGAGCAGAGCAGCAGUUUUAAGUGGUGCAUCAGCUCGUGGGCCCAUCCUGCUAACUGUGCUUUGAAGCUUCUAAGGCAGGACAGAAGGGAGAUAUAUUGGUCACUGUUGUCUUCUGAGGAACUCUAGACAACCAUCUGUCUAUCGCAAGUUUAUUCAGAGCUCCCACAGGAAAUGUAUUUUUAACUAUUUCAAUUAUAGUUGUAUCAAUUGUUUUGCAAUUGUUACCUUGUAGCUCUUCCCUGCUGUAUCAACAUCUCCUUUUCUAGUCCCUUUUUAGAGAGAUCGUGAUCUUGUUCAUCUGUGACCCAGAUGAAGAACUUUCAAUGUAUUAUUUGCUGAGGAGCAAAACUAAGAGUUUGGGAAGCUAUAUUUUCAAGUGGUGCUUCUACCUACUGCUGUCUAAAUAUCCUUUUCAAGUAAAAGAUAUAAACACAAUUCUUCCCCAGCAAACUCUCUCCUUUGUUGUAACUCAGUGAAAAGCAUUUGUUGUAUAUUCGUGGUUGCUAUGAAUCUAUAUAAUCAAUUCUCAUUUUCUUUGAAUAUUUAAGUUAGGAAAAUAAAAUGUAAAUGAAUUAAAGAUAA